UACGUAGGGUGCAAGCGUUGUCCGGAAUUAUUGGGCGUAAAGAGCUCGUAGGCGGUCUGUUGCGUCCGCUGUGAAAACUCGGGGCUUAACCCCGAGCCUGCAGUGGAUACGGGCAGACUAGAGGUAGGUAGGGGAGAAUGGAAUUCCCGGUGUAGCGGUGAAAUGCGCAGAUAUCGGGAGGAACACCGGUGGCGAAGGCGGGUCUCUGGACAGUUCCUGACACUGAGGCACGAAGGCCAGGGGAGCAAACGGG
rnacentral:rRNA from 1 species